CUCAAUCUGUUGACCCUCCCCUCUGAAGGCUCUUAGGGCCAGCGGGCCCAGGAGCUCCUAGUCAUGGGAUUUCAUGGACCUAUCACUUUUUAAAAGUUAGGUCUGCUCACUCUGUGUCAUCAAGGACAGACCCAAUGGCCCUAAUACGAACCCACUGCCAUUUGUUAUCUCCAAGCAGCAGAGCUCUCAGCAUCAAGGACUUUCUAAGAAAGGACCAUGGCGAUGGCUUUGUGACCUGCCUGUGCUACAGUAACGGAACCUUUGGUCCAGAGCCUGGGAUGUUGCCUUUUGCCCACUGGAAUUCCCAUCUUGGAAGAGUAAGCACAGGGGAUUGUCCAGACAGCCAGGAGGCCAG
rnacentral:lncRNA from 1 species